AACUGAUUUAACAUUGACACGAGUGGCCAAUUGGUGAGUAACCGUGGGUAACCUGCCCUUGAAGUAGGGGAUAACACUUGGAAACAGGUGCUAAUACCGUAUAACAACCAAAACCACCUGGUUUUGGUUUAAAAGAUGGCUUCGGCUAUCACUUUAGGAUGGACCCGCGGCGUAUUAGCUUGUUGGUAAGGUAACGGCCUACCAAGGCAAUGAUACGUAGCCGACCUGAGAGGGUAAUCGGCCACAUUGGGACUGAGACACGGCCCAAACUCCUACGGGAGGCAGCAGUAGGGAAUCUUCCACAAUGGACGAAAGUCUGAUGGAGCAACGCCGCGUGAGUGAUGAAGGGUUUCGGCUUGUAAAACUCUGUUGUUGGAGAAGAACAGGUGUGAGAGUAACUGUUCACAUCUUGACGGUAUCCAACCAGAAAGCCACGGCUAACUACGUGCCAGCAGCCGCGGUAAUACGUAGGUGGCAAGCGUUGUCCGGAUUUAUUGGGCGUAAAGCGAGCGCAGGCGGUUUUUUAGGUCUGAUGUGAAAGCCUUCGGCUUAACCGGAGAAGUGCAUCGGAAACCAGGAGACUUGAGUGCAGAAGAGGACAGUGGAACUCCAUGUGUAGCGGUGAAAUGCGUAGAUAUAUGGAAGAACACCAGUGGCGAAGGCGGCUGUCUGGUCUGUAACUGACGCUGAGGCUCGAA
rnacentral:rRNA from 2 species